rnacentral:rRNA from 1 species
GAUGAAGCCCUUCGGGGUGGAUUAGUGGCGAACGGGUGAGUAACACGUGGGCAAUCUGCCCUGCACUCUGGGACAAGCCCUGGAAACGGGGUCUAAUACCGGAUACUGACCAUCUUGGGCAUCCUUGAUGGUGGAAAGCUCCGGCGGUGCAGGAUGAGCCCGCGGCCUAUCAGCUAGUUGGUGAGGUAAUGGCUCACCAAGGCGACGACGGGUAGCCGGCCUGAGAGGGCGACCGGCCACACUGGGACUGAGACACGGCCCAGACUCCUACGGGAGGCAGCAGUGGGGAAUAUUGCACAAUGGGCGAAAGCCUGAUGCAGCGACGCCGCGUGAGGGAUGACGGCCUUCGGGUUGUAAACCUCUUUCAGCAGGGAAGAAGCGAAAGUGACGGUACCUGCAGAAGAAGCGCCGGCUAACUACGUGCCAGCAGCCGCGGUAAUACGUAGGGCGCGAGCGUUGUCCGGAAUUAUUGGGCGUAAAGAGCUCGUAGGCGGCUUGUCACGUCGGUUGUGAAAGCCCGGGGCUUAACCCCGGGUCUGCAGUCGAUACGGGCAGGCUAGAGUUCGGUAGGGGAGAUCGGAAUUCCUGGUGUAGCGGUGAAAUGCGCAGAUAUCAGGAGGAACACCGGUGGCGAAGGCGGAUCUCUGGGCCGAUACUGACGCUGAGGAGCGAAAGCGUGGGGAGCGAACAGGAUUAGAUACCCUGGUAGUCCACGCCGUAAACGGUGGGCACUAGGUGUGGGCAACAUUCCACGUUGUCCGUGCCGCAGCUAACGCAUUAAGUGCCCCGCCUGGGGAGUACGGCCGCAA